CCGUAUUGUAAUAAACGUGAUCUAAUCAUGUUCAUGCUCAACGUAAACACCAAAUAACAGCAAUUUGAAUUUGGUAGGGAAGAAAAAAAUUCCUCUCAAAGAGGAAAUCAUUUCUAGCUUUCCAAAUGCACCACAUAAAAUUGAAAAUAUUUUGCAAAGAUGCAUGAGGAUGGCCCAUAGAAGCAAAGUGAAUCAAAAGGGAAUGCAUUGAAGAGUAUCCUUGCACAAGGCUCUCAAAUCUAAGAAACCAAGGAGCAGAGA
rnacentral:lncRNA from 1 species